rnacentral:rRNA from 1 species
AAAGGAAUAGACGGGGGCCCGCACAAGCGGUGGAGCAUGUGGAUUAAUUCGACGCAACGCGAAGAACCUUACCAAGGCUUGACAUCCCCCUGCAACGGAUGGAAACAUCCGCCUCCUUCGGGACAGGGGAGACAGGUGGUGCAUGGUUGUCGUCAGCUCGUGUCGUGAGAUGUUGGGUUAAGUCCCGCAACGAGCGCAACCCCUAUGUUUAGUAGCCAACGGGAAAGCCGGGCACACUAGAGAUACUGCCGUGGAUAACACGGAGGAAGGCGGGGAUGAGGUCAAAUCAUCAUGCCCCUUAUGUCUUGGGCAUCACACGUGCUACAAUGGCUCGAACAAAGUGAAGCAAGGCAGUGAUGCGGAGCAAAACACAAAAACGAGUCUCAGUUCGGAUUGUAGUCUGCAACCCGACUACAUGAAGUUGGAAUCGCUAGUAAUCGCGAAUCAGCAUGUCGCGGUGAAUACGUUCCCGGGCCUUGUACACACCGCCCGU